AUUGAACGCUGGCGGCAGUCCUCACACAUGCAAGUCGAGCGGAGCGGCGGACGGGUGAGUAAUGCCUAGGCAUCUGCCUGGUCGUGAGGGAUAACUUCCGGAAACGGGCGCUAAUACCGCAUUCUAUCGGAUGAGCUUAGGCCGGAUUAGCUAGUUGGUGGGGUAAAGGCCUACCCAGCCGACGAGCCGUAACUGGUCUGAGAGGAUGAUCAGUCACACUGGAACUGAGAAAAGGUCCAGACUACUACGGGAGGCAGCAGUGGGGAAUAUUGGGCAAUGGGCGAAAGCCUGAUGCAGCCAUGCCGCGUGUGUGAAGAAGGUCUUCGGAUUGUAAAGCACUGUAAGUUGGGAGGCGUUACCAACAGAAUAAGCACCGGCUAACUUCGUGCCAGCAGCCGCGGUAAUUC
rnacentral:rRNA from 1 species